AAACACGGCGCCUAAGCAGCUCAAACGCUCAAAAGUUUGGUUAUACUUUACCAGAACGGAUGACAACAGGGCAACUUGCAAUACUUGCAAAGUAGAUAUUUCAUUUAAGGGAGGAAACACUACGAAUAUGCAAAAGCAUUUGCUCACAAAACACGCGAUGAACUUAAAUGAAUGUCGUGUUUUUAAUUCCGCUCCGGAGUCGUGAAUCUCAACCCAGCAGCAGCGGUUUGCACGUCCUCUCCCGUUAAUGCGGCAGGUGACCGUGAUGAGAGAGACAGACAGAGUCUGGCUGGCGCUUGCUGGCAGUUGUCGCUGCAGUCCACCGGUAGCGUCUCUUUUCAGGCCCGAAUGUCACCGAGCAGUGACUAAGUUUGUGUUAAAAGCCUUGCAGCCAUUUGCCACAGCAGAUGGUCCAAGCCAGCUCCGAACAGCCAGAACUCUGGUUCAGACUGGUAGAUGUUGUACAGUGUCCUCCAUCGAGAGUGUCGCACAUGAUGCAACCGCCUAUCGAGUAUCCGGCAGCAAACGUCUCUGCAGGACAAUCAGGGCUCUCCCGAACCCAAGCUUCUUGUCGACAGUAGAGUGUCAGUUUCAUUAAUGCUGUUCUUGUUGUGAUUUAUUGAUAAAAAACUGCUGAGUUUAAUUUAACACUUUAUUAUUAUUGAAUGUAAUGAUGAUUGCAGACUGCAUAGAGGAAUAGCAUUAGCAUAGCGAGGGCAUUAGUAUGUUAGCUCUGUUUUCCUUUGACCCUGUGUCGAGGAGGCUGCUGUCAGGAUCUGCAGAUCUGCUGAAAGCAGGAAAAUGUGAAAUGCAAACUCAACACUUUUUCUGUUUAACUCCCUCACAGGAUCUGCUGCUUUGUUUAUUAAUGGUUUGUUUUGUCUUUUUUGUUUCUUACAUGCAUCCUUUCACAGCUCCACACAAGAUUCUGUUUUUUUUUGUUGUUGUUGUUGUUUAUUGCUUCUUUUAUGUUUUGUUAUGUAUCUUUUUCAUCUUUUCUAUUCAAUGAGUUUAGUUGUUAUUUUGCACUUGUUAAGAAGCUCAGGUUUGACAAAAGCAGCUGAAUGAACAUCAGAGAGAGAUUUUUCUGCCUUCUGUCUUUUUAUUCCUUUCUUUUCUUCCCAUUAAAGUGUUUUUUCUUUCUUUCUGAUAAAAGCUCACAGACAAGGAGAGAGAAAAGAGAUAACUCUGUUAUUGUAGCUCUAAGUCUCUCUGACUCUAAAUCUCUUUUAAGAGGAGGUAUAAAACUACCUGACUGCAUCCCUUAUUAGCAUUGCACUGUGUGUGUGUGAGUGUGUGUGUGUUUCCCUGCAUUGCUAUCUUUGUGAGAACCACUCUUAGGACUCUAUCAUCUUUGCAAGGACGUCAAAUACUGUCAUUUUGUCUUUGUUGGUGGUGCCCUGACACAACUGCAAUAAGGAGGAAUAAAAACCCCAUGCACCAAAUCACAAAUCCUCUCUGAUUGGGUCAGAUGAGAAUGGCCAGACUCCUUCCAGCUGACAGGAAGUUGACAGUAACUCAAAUAACGACUCAUUACAUGCAUCCUUUGUCCCAUAUCCACUAUCCCUCCUCUGCAUAUGUACAAUGAUCUGAACCUUGUCUCUCUAAGUUUGUCUCCAAACUAUUCAACUUGAGCUGACCCUCUGAAGUGUACUCAUCUCUAAUCCUGUCCAUCCUGGUUACUUCCACCUACAAUUUGAGCAUCUUUAACUCUGCUGCACACAUCUCCUGUCUUUUGAUUAGUACUGCUUCUCUGGUGUAUGUAAAAUCCUCAGUGUUGACAAGAAGACAUUUACUAGAAUAUUUUAUAUUGUAGAACAAAGCACAAAACAUCUCAAGUUCAUGUUAACACAGACCUCAUUUUAGGCAUAAAAAACUGUUUAAAAAACCUGAUGAAUUUGAGAGAAGGAAAGCUGGAGUGCAAAGUGUAAACUCAUUUCCAUGGUUUAUCACUCAUUCCUGCAGCAUUAUAAAAGAACAUUCUCCUUCUGAUUUCUCCACAGCUUUCUUUCAGUACUGUGUCUUUUCCCUGUCAAUGUGUGGGUAGAUACUUACCUAGUCUCUUUGUGUUACCUUGAGUUGUGAUGAGGUGGAUUAGAAAUUCUGCUUGAGUCUACAUAGGUCAGGUAGGGUCUUGUUUAACAGCUUUAGGUCUUCUGUUUCAAUAUGUCCGAUACCUGAGUGGAUAAAAUGGAUGUGAAUUAAUAUCUGACAAGAUUAUAAGAUCUGAACCUUAAGUUGUAUCAUUCUGUCUUCCGUGGAUGCUGUUGUCACUAUUAUAUUUCUGCUUUUACCAGUAUAGAUGCUUGUUUGUCAAUUGAAUUGUUGUGAAUUGAAUUGAAUCUAAUUAAAAUUGAAUCAGGUUGAAAAACUCCUCUAAUGUCUCCACAUGAGCAGUACAAGUCAAUGAAACACAAUACAGUGCACAAAGGAUUUUAAGCUGUAUGCUAUUUACAUAGAGGUACCUGCACUGGACUUGACUAUAUUUUAAAUGCAAUCUUAGGGUGAA
ensembl:lncRNA